UACAAACCUUCUACCCUUCACUGCAGCAUCUACCACUAACCUGCAAAACUGGGUUAAGGGGGAGAGGGGUGAGCUACAAGAGCCCAGUGAGUGGAAAUACAUAAAAGCAGUUAUAAAAUAUAUGUCUUCAUGAAAUGCAACACAUCACAAGUAUUGCACAUAUCUCUUUUUCCCCUGCUAGGGUAUAUCUGAUAUAAUGCUAGCAAUCUCUGGCCCUAGCGGGUUUUUAGAGGGUUCGUGUUUAUCCCUUCCCCUCAGGGUUAGACAUGACCCCAAAACUCCCUCUGUCAAUACUGUGCUCCCCAAAGAAGCAUACAUAGGGCUUUCCGGUAUGUACUCACCCAACUGACCUGACACAAUGACAGGAACAUAGGCUAAUGGGGUCGCCUGGGUCCACCCAAUCUAUUCACAUAAUCACAUAUUAUGCAAUGUCUCAUCUUCGUGCUCUCUAGUGCAAACAUCCUAUCAAUAUCAUGAUGCAUGAAGUAUGCUGAAACAUUUAUUUAAAAAUGUGAAGGUUAGUCCCACUCACCUGUGGCUGAUGCUCGACACUGACUCUGACUCUGCUGACUGCUCAGAACCUCGGGUCCAAAUCUACACAAAUGGACACGAGUAAGGUCUAAUACUAG
rnacentral:lncRNA from 1 species